ensembl:snRNA U6 U6 spliceosomal RNA
GUUCUUACUUCUGCAGUACACAUUGAAAUUGGAACAACACAGAGAAGAUUAGCAUGACCCCUACACAAGGAUGGCAUACAAAUUUGUGAAGCUGGUGACACAUGC